rnacentral:rRNA from 1 species
CACGUAGGGGGCGAGCGUUGUCCGGAUUUAUUGGGCGUAAAGAGCUCGUAGGCGGCUCAGUAAGUCAGGUGUGAAAACUCCAGGCUCAACCUGGAGACGCCACCUGAUACUGCUGUGGCUAGAGUCCGGUAGGGGAGCAUGGAAUUCCUGGUGUAGCGGUGAAAUGCGCAGAUAUCAGGAGGAACACCGGUGGCGAAGGCGGGUCUCUGGGCAGUAACUGACGCUGAGGAGCGAAAGCGUGGGGAGCAAACAGG